UGGCUCAGGAUGAACGCUGGCGGCGUGCCUAAUACAUGCAAGUCGAGCGAGAAAUCUUUCAGACAAAUCUUCGGAAGCGUCAGAGAGAUGGAAAGCGGCGGACGGGUGAGUAACGCGUAGGCAACCUGCCCUUAGCAGAGGGAUAGCCAUUGGAAACGAUGAUUAAAACCUCAUAAUGCUGGAGAAGCACAUGCUUCAUCAGCCAAAGAUUUAUCGGCUAAGGAUGGGCCUGCGUCUGAUUAACUAGUUGGUGAGGUAACGGCUCACCAAGGUGACGAUCAGUAGCCGACCUGAGAGGGUGAUCGGCCACAUUGGAACUGAGACACGGUCCAAACUUCUACGGAAGGCAGCAGUAAGGAAUCUUGCACAAUGGGGGAAACCCUGAUGCCAGCAACGCCGCGUGAACGAUGAAGGCCUUAGGGUUGUAAAGUUCUGAUCUGUGGGAAGAAGAAAGUGACGGUACCACAGGAGAAAGCCCCGGCUAAAUACGUGCCAGCCGCAGC
rnacentral:rRNA from 1 species